rnacentral:rRNA from 1 species
UACAGAGGGGGGCAAGCGUUAUUCGGAAUUAUUGGGCGUAAAGGGCGCGUAGGCGGGCGCGGCAAGUCUUCUGUGAAACCUCCGGGCUUAACUCGGAGCCUGCAGGGGGAAACUGCCGUGCUUUGAGUGUGGGGAGAGGUGAGUGGAAUUCCCCGGUGUAGCGGUGAAAAUGCGUAGAUAUUGGGGAGGAACACCGGUGGCGAAGGCGGCCCCCCCUGGACCGGGUACUGACGCUGAGGCGCGAAAAGCGUGGGGUAGCAAAACGGGG